AUUAAAGUUGUUGUGGUUAAAAAGCUCGUAGUUGGAUCUCAGUUCGAGUCAGGUGGUCCACUUGCCAGUGGCUACUGUCCUGACUGAACACUUUACCGAGCUGUCCUAUGGUGCUCUUCACCGAGUGUCAUAGGCGAUCGGUACGUUUACUUUGAAAAAAAAUUAGAGUGCUCAAAGCAGGCCUAACGCGCCCGAAUAAUGUUGCAUGGAAUAAUGGAAUAGGACCUCGGUUCAAUUUUGUUGGUCUUCGGAAUCUGAGGUAAUGAUCAAUAGGGACAGACGGGGUCAUUCGUAUUGCGGCGCUAGAGGUGAAAUUCUUGGACCGUCGCAAGACGAACUAAAGCGAAAGCAUUUGACAAGAAUGUUUUCAUUAAUCAAGAACGAAAGUUAGAGGUUCGAAGGCGAUCAGAUACCGCCCUAGUUCUAACCAUAAACGAUGCCAACCAGUAAUUCGCCUGAGUUCCUUAAAUGACUCGGCGAGGGACUUCCGGGAAACCAAAGUCUUUCGGUUCCAGGGGAAGUAUGGUUGCAAAGCUGAAGCUUAAAGAAAUUGACGGAAGGGCACCACCAGGAGUGGAGCCUGCGGCUUAAUUUGACCCAACACGGGAAAACUCACCCGGCCCGGACACUGGAAGGAUUGACAGAUUGAGAGCUCUUUCUUGAUUCAGUGGGUGGUGGUGCAUGGCCGUUCUUAGUUGGUGGAGUGAUUUGUCUGGUUAAUUCCGAUAACGAACGAGACUCUAGCCUACUAAAUAGAUCGUCGGCUUACAAACGCCGACGAGACUUCUUAGAGGGACAGGCGGUGAUUCAACCGCACGAAACAGAGCAAUAACAGGUCUGUGAUGCCCUUAGAUGUCCGGGGCCGCACGCGCGCUACACUGAAGUGAUCAGCGUGCUUUUGUCAACCUACUCUGUCAAGAGUGGGGAACCCAAUGAACCUUCUUCGUGAUUGGGAUAGGGGAUUGUAAUUAUUCCCCUUGAACGAGGAAUUCCCAGUAAGCGCGAGUCAUAAGCUCGCGUUGAUUACGUCCCUGCCCUUUGUACACACCGCCCGUCGCUACUACCGAUUGAAUGUUUUAGUGAGGUCUUCGGACUGGCCGGUGCAGCUACUCUUGUAGUGGCAGCGCUGUGUUUGGAAAGAUGCCCAAACUUGAACAUUUAGAGGAAGUAAAAGUCGUAACAAGGUUUCCGUAGGUGAACCUGCGGAAG
rnacentral:rRNA from 1 species